rnacentral:rRNA from 1 species
AACGAACGCUGCGGCAUGCCUAACACAUGCAAGUCGAACGAGACCUUCGGUUCUAGUGGCGCACGGGUGCGUAACGCGUGGGAACCUGCCCUUAGGUUCGGAAUAACUCCCCGAAAGGGGUGCUAAUACCGGAUAAUGUCUUCGGACCAAAGAUUUAUCGCCUUUGGAUGGGCCCGCGUUGGAUUAGCUAGUUGGUAGGGUAAAAGCCUACCAAGGCGACGAUCCAUAGCUGGUCUGAGAGGAUGAUCAGCCACACUGGGACUGAGACACGGCCCAGACUCCUACGGGAGGCAGCAGUGGGGAAUAUUGGACAAUGGGCGAAAGCCUGAUCCAGCAAUGCCGCGUGAGUGAUGAAGGCCUUAGGGUUGUAAAGCUCUUUUACCCGGGAUGAUAAUGACAGUACCGGGAGAAUAAGCUCCGGCUAACUCCGUG